UUUUUUUUUUAACGUAUGUAUUGUAAACCAAAUCUCUACCUUUGACCAGAACCAACUGUGCACUGUAAUGGCUCUCUUAUGAGCAUUAUCACGAGACAAUAGCUUUGGAAACAGACUGCUGUGUUUUCUGUGAGUGUAGAGAUAAUGAAAAUAUGUGAAUGGAAAUCAUGUGAUUUCCUUGGAAUGCUAUAUUAAACCUCUUGAUUGACUCUCAUAAAUUGUUUUGCAAUUACUGCACCAAUUCUUUUCCCUGGUUAGAGAUGAAACAAUGUAGUAUUUUCUCAAGAAGUUUUCCAACAGCUAAAAAUGUGUCAGAAGAAGGCUGAGCUGCCUUCAUAACAACAUAAGUGCUUUGAACCAUAUACUAUAAUUUUUUGUAAGUUUUUGCAGACUCUAUUAUUUUCCUAUAGGACAAAACUAGAUUGUAAACCCAUAAAUAUCAAAUUAGGCUGCUUGCAGUUUACACCAGAGUAACCUCAUUUCAGAGGUGCUCAGAAACCACAGGAGAGAGUGGAUUGCAUCAGCUCUCAGCCCUGUGAGGACACUUACCAUAACUUGCCAUUCAUGCACGCAGCAAUUGUGAAGCAAAUCCUCUUCUCAGCUUACUUUGACACAUAUGGACAGUCUAGUUCUGUGGAGCCAGAGUUCCUUCAUGAGCUGCUGCUUGGGAUACUAAUGCAGAGGAAUUAAGGGGCUGCCUUAAGGCUCCUUAUAUGCAUCACAGUAAGCAACUGUGCUGCAUCCAAGCACUACUGCAUUUGAAUUCUUAACGGCAAGUCAGUUAUUGGUGUUUAUUUUUUUGUUUCCAUCAUACAACAUUGUAAAUGUUUAUGUUAGCAUAAAUGAAGGAUUAAAAAAUAUUUUUAAUCAUCUCCUACACACCAAGAAACAUGCUGGCAUGUAAUUUGUUUCACUUCAUUGAUAAUAUGCUCAGUCUUUUGUGCUGAGGCAUGAAAAGUUAAUUACUUGCAGCACAGGGUAUUUAUUACAUCUCCUUGUGUUCUAAGUGUAAGUAUUUUCUGGAUGGACUAUUUAAAUGAAUUUUUGAAGUAGCAAUGUUUUUGUUGUUGUUAUUUUAAUGUACCUCAUGAUUAUGUACAUUUUUCAUCCUAUCUGGACUUUAACAAUGAAUUAUUUGCUCUUUUUCCUUUAGGUACUGAUGACACAUUCUUUUAGCCACUGACAACUGUGUGGUCAUUACUACUUUUCACUAUCUUUUAUAUAUUAGAAAGUGACACCAAAAGAAAGACUAUCAGAUACUUUAAGAGAGUGAAUGUAAUUCAGUUCAAACACAAAUAAAGCUGAUGUAGAAGGACUGAGCUUUGUGGCAUCAAAAAGUCUGUAAAUUUCUGUUGAAGUUCGUCACUGUCUGCCAGUAAUCCCACAAAGCUCAGUAGGGAUCAGCUGCUGAUAACACCAGUGAAAGGGGGUCUUUGUUACAGCACUCUGGGUUUUUGUACAUAUUGAAGACCUUGUGAGUCUCAUUCAGAUUGCCUGUUACUUAGCAAACAUUAACAGUGUGUAUAAUGCAGUGCUUCAGACAAAUCUGUAUUUUCUCAGGGUUUUUUGUGUUAUUUCCAUUUAUCACAAAUGUUUUAUAUACAAUUCAUGCUUAUGAUUUAAUUCUCUAUCCAAAAUAAAUGCUUCAUAAAUAAACAUUUGAUUUUUUUAGUCUUCUUUUCAGUGGCAAAAUAAUGAUUGCAUAGAUAAAGUUCAAAGCUAGAAUGUUUUGCCUGUGGUGGAUUUAUUAUUACCAUUAUAAAAGUUGUCUUCAAAGAGUUAAAGUUGGUUAGUUAGUUAUCCCAAUUCUCCCUGUUUAAUGAAAGUAUUUUGUUUCCUUAAACUGCAUUUAAUAAGUAAUAAGGAAGACUGGAAAAUGAAUUCACAUCUUGCUGUAUUGGUUAUGUUGAGUUCAUUCUGUUUUCUCUCUGAAGUCCACAAGCCUUUAGGUGCUAGCUAAUCUAUUCAUUUCUGACAUGCACAUCUUUCUACUGCCUAAGUGCCUGUGCUGUUCUUGAAGCAGCCUCAGAGAUUAUUUAAAUCCACAUGCUUUGCUUUUUCACCUGCUCACCAUUUCCCACAUACUUUUAUCGUGUACUUCAAAACAUUAUAAUUGUACUCUUAGAAAAUCCAUUGUCAUAUUAGGUCUAACUUAACACGACCACAUUAUCCAAGGAUAGUCCCUACAUCCAUUGUCCUGCAACUGCAAGAAUAUUGCUAGAUCUCCUCUUGGGUUCUGAAAGUGCCUGGCAGCAAUUCCAUACUCAGGGCUGCAUUUUAAAAUGGAUAGCUACUAGUGUCAGAAGGUAAUGACUCAGGCUGUGCAUAUACAGGUGAGAUGCAGGCAAAGUUAACACUGUGGUUCUAUGGUAAGUGUGAUGACAGCGAACUGCAGAGUUAUUUUUAGAUGACAGUACAGGAAAUAAAUUUAUGUGCUUAAAACCCGCAAAAUGCUAAAUUCAAACCUAUAAAGUGCACAGUCAUUGUGACUGAAGCAGCAAAGUGAGGGACCAAGGCUGGUGAAAAGGCUGGAAGGCAUGUCCUGCACAGAGUGGCUAAGGACACUGGCUUUGUCUAGUUUGGAGCAGAGGCAGCUGAGGGUGAAGCUUUAAAGCUUCCUGAGGAAUGGACAUGGGGACAGAAGGAGGUGAUGAGCUCUUCUCCCUGAGACGCAGUGGCAGGAUAUAUGGGAAUGAUUCCAAGCUGCACCAGGGGAGGUUCAGACAAGACCUCAUGAAGCAUUUCUUUACUCUGAGGUUGGUCAAACCCUGGAACAGGCCUGCUUGAGAGACAAUCAAUGCCCUGCGCCUGUCAGUGUUUAAGAGACAUUUGGACACCAACCUUAACAACAUGAAGUGUUGGUCAGCCCUGGUGGUUGGACAGUUGGAGAGAUGGUCACCAUGGGUCCCUUCCAGCUGAAACACUCUAUUCCAGUCUAUCCAUACAGUCACAGUGCCAUGCUAUACAAACUAUGUCUUCUCAGUAUAACUUCUCCUCUGAAUCCUUCUGCCUGAGCCUCCUUAGGCAGGGGUUGGCUCAAACUGUACAGUCUCUGUAGGGUCUUUCCCUACCACUUAGAGCAGCUAUGAACAGUUCUCCCAGGAGGAUGCAGGUCUUUUAUAAGCCUGGAAUGCCAAACAGCUAAAUACAAGUGUCAGUAGCUUCCAUAGUCCAAAAUACCUCUGGAUUAUGAUCUUGUUCAGGCAAAAUUGAAGAGCAGAACCACCACUCUGAAGAGAGUUCCUUUCUGUACUGCCUAGGGCCUACCAUGUCCCCUACCACAAAAAGCUGUGCCACGAAGUAAACUAAUUUCCUACCAUUGCUAUGUAUUCCAUAUAAUCAUAUGCAGACAAGCAAAAAAUGUAGCAAAGGAUAGCCUCUGAAAGGCAUCCAAGGCAGCUGGUUUAUAUAAUCAUAUAAUAGGUUUGGGCUGGAGAAGACCUUAAAGAUGAUCCAGUUCCAAUGCCCCUGACAAGGGCAGGAAGACCUUCCACUAGAGCAUGUUGCUUUAAGUUCAUCACUGCCAGAUAUUCCCAUUCAAAUCUUGCAUAUUUUUGAAUAAGUGGGGACUUUACCAUGCAAGGAUAGAAGAUGCCAGGGUUGUAAGCUUACUUUUGUUUCUAAAUGUAUUCUUCCCUUUAAAUGUCAUCAUAUUUUAUUUAGCAGAUAUUCAUGAAAUGCUUGAGCUCAUAUGCUACACUCUUGAUUGCAAGCCUGACUCUGGGAAACAAAAGAGAUUUAUGGGUUUGUUUUUUUUUUUUUAAUUCUACUUUGUUUUGAGUCAUACCUUAUUACAAUGGGGAAACUUUGAAUUUCUAUGCUUGUUUUUCCAUGUUAAAGCCAUGUGAACUUCAGUCUUAGUUCUCUUUUUUAGACAGUCUUUGUCUACUGAAUUUCAUUUCUUAGAGUUUUGUAGUAUUCUAAGUAUCUUUUUGAAGACAGACCAGUUUCAAGAUUCUAAAUUCCAGUGGGGCAAUGGAGCACUGCUCUCUUCUGAACUGAGUUUCAGGAACCAGUCCUUUACAGCAAAUUUAUGAGAGGAAUAAAGGUGCUUUGUGUUUAACAACAAUACAGGCUUUUUUUUUUCUUUCUAAAAAUUCUUGAAUCUCAAAACAUUCCUCAUCUUUUCAUUUUGUGACCAUGGGAACUAAUGUCUCUUCAUUCCUAAACACCAUCCAGUUGUCUUCCAUGUUAAGUGCUGUCACCUGAAACUUUGGUGAUUCUGGCACUGUAUUGUAAUUCUUUAAUUUCUCAGAAGAGAAAUCACCUUAUCUCAAGCUAUACAUCAGGGAUCUGACACAGCAGUGUAUUUAAUAUGGUGUGGUGAAAGCAAAAGUGGCCCACAGACUGCUGACCUUGCUUAUUUUCAUUGGAGAUCUGGAGCUGUAGGAUCAGAAUAAGAUCAAAAGGCCAUGUCUAUGUAAGGGUGCCUCCAUUGUGUAGUCUUUAGACACAGCUGAGCUGCUGACAGGAACGAUGUGGUUCAGCAUGACCUGAGGCUUGAGAAGUGACCUUUCAGGAUGUGCUUCUUGUGACCAUUGUGACUGCAGAGGUAUUUACAACUGCCUGGGUACUAGAAAGACUGAAUUUCCCUCUGCAGAUGUUACUCUCUUCCCCUUGUGUCAACAGGCUGGUUUAUGGCCCAGGGCAGAGACUGAAUGGCUGUGGUGGUUAGGGAUGGGUGAGGGAGCAGCCCAGGGGAAACACAAGCUCUGCAGAUGAAUGGUUAGAAGAAUCUCUGGGACUGUAGCAAGGUAACUUCAGCAGUCGGUAUCCCUGAGGGCUUCCCCUCUGACUGGGUUCCUGAGAUGGCCCAGGGGCCUGAGGCUUAAUCCACACAACACAGCACAGCCCGAGGCUCUGAGAGGGGCGGCGCUCCAGG
rnacentral:lncRNA from 1 species